rnacentral:rRNA from 1 species
UUUAAAUGUAAAAUAAAUAUACUAAAGUAGUAAUAGUUAUGUUCUUGAAAUUUAAAGAUUUUGGCGGUAUUUUAGUCUAUUUAGAGGAGCCUGUUCUGUAAUUGAUAAUCCACGAUUAAUUUUACUUAAUUUAAAUAAAUUUGUAUACCGUCGUUAUUAGAAGAUUUUAAAAGAAUAUAAAUUUUUGAUAUUUUAUAUAAAAAAAUAUAUCAGAUCAAGGUGCAGUUUAUAGUUAAGAAGAAAUGGGCUACAAUAAAUUUAUUUAUUUAUACGGAUUAAAGUAAGAAUUUAACUUUAUGAAGGUGGAUUUAAUAGUAAUAAAAUUUAUUUUAAUUAUAUGAUUUUAGCUCUAAAAUAUG